GGGACAUCAGUGCACACAUGCUUGAAUUUAUUGGCAAGAGGAUGGUUUUGAAGAGAAUGAGAGUUGUUUGGAAUGGUUUGGAAGACUGGGACCGACACAUGGGUACUACAAUCCUCAAAGGAGAUGUAAUAUGUGAGUGCUAAGACGAAACAAGAUAUACCAAAAUUUUUUUGCCCCGGUUUAGUGUUUGGGAAAAUGAGCAUAGGGUUAUGAAUCCAUGAAAAUAAGGGUGAACAAAUCAAAUGAGACUUGCAAAUCUGCCCCAGUCUUGGGAUCAUGGGUUGAUGAAAAAUUUGUAUGAGACUCACAAAGCUGCCUUAGUCUUGGGUCAUGGGUUGAUGAAAAAUUUGUAUGAGACUCACAAAGCUUCCCCAGUCCUUGGUCAUGGGUUGAUGAAAAAUUUGUAUGAGACUCACAAAGCUGCCCCAGUUUUUUCCUUGGCAAAGGGUUCCAUUUGGAAGAGGUAGUGGGCAUGAAAAAGAUCGGCUAAAAGGACGACCCCAAUUGGUUUGAUUUUCUUUUAUAUGCUUCUGGCUAGUUGGCAAGGAGAUCCCCUCUACCCGAGACAUUAUCUUCUCUUUUUUUUUAUAUUCAUUCGUUUACAACUUUUUUUUUACGACACAUUGAAAGUCAUUUCGCCUUAUCGUAAAAUUGAGCAAACAUUAUCCAAUUUGUGUGGGCUUUAUUAGGCUUGUAACAUAGCUAGG
rnacentral:lncRNA from 1 species